UCUCUGACCACCGGCACCGAGGCGGGCUCUCUAACCUGACUGCUAAGCUCUCUCACAUGAGCCAAAUACCCUUGACAUCCCCUCCUAAGCAACCUACGAGCCUGAAGAGCUGAUAUCAAACCUCUAGGUGUACCCCUCCUGUCUCCCCUGAAGACGACCUCUGACCCAUCCUGACCUCUGAACCUGACUACCUUGUCCCUGCAGUCCAAGGUAGCACCAUGGGUAGAUAACCAGUCCAUCCCUAGAAUGACGUCAAAAUCUG
rnacentral:lncRNA from 1 species